CACCACAACGGGUGGAGCCUGCGGUUUAAUUGGACUCAACGCCGGGCAGCUCACCGGAUAAGACAGCUGGAUGAUAGCCGGGCUGAAGACUCUGCUUGACUAGCUGAGAGGAGGUGCAUGGCCGUCGUCAGUUCGUACUGUGAAGCAUCCUGUUAAGUCAGGCAACGAGCGAGACCCACGCCAACAGUUGCCAGCAUGUCCUCCGGGAUGAUGGGGACACUGUUGGGACCGCCUCUGCUAAAGAGGAGGAAGGAAUGGGCAACGGUAGGUCAGCAUGCCCCGAAUUAUCCGGGCUACACGCGGGCUACAAUGGUCAGGACAAUGGGUAUCGACACCGAGAGGUGGAGGCAAUCUCCUAAACCUGUCCUUAGUUCGGAUUGUGGGCUGCAACUCGCCCACAUGAAGCUGGAAUCCGUAGUAAUCGCGUUUCAAAAUAGCGCGGUGAAUGUGUCCCUGCUCCUU
rnacentral:rRNA from 1 species